CGUCAAGCUGCAAGCCUAGAGGAUUCAGUUGAUCGGUGUGUAUGCGCGCCUGGCGUGUCUGUCGGACGGACAGUCCACUGCGAAAUGGUGGGCCUGCCUUUCUUCUUGGGGGGCAGGAUCGNUGUUCCGGGUGGUUGCCGGUGCCGNCUGUUUUGUCUGUCUGCGCAGUGUGGAUGGACCGGUCAAUNCACUUCCUCUAUUUGGUGAGCACCACGACUGGUGGAACUGCCAGUCUNCCAUAGUCAAGUCGGAUUUGGUCGGUGGCUCUCCUCGUCGUCUUGGUGUGGGGGGGUCAUCGGCUGAGUUUCGAUCACAGGCGAACUCAGUGAGCGGCGCGUGUAGGCAUUCGCUUGCACACUUGUUAUCGAGCACUGGUCCCCAACGGCUCUCCCUGUCGUUUGUUGUACACUCGCCGGUGGGUCUCCUGGUGGCC
rnacentral:rRNA from 1 species